UACGGAGGGUGCGAGCGUUAAUCGGAAUUACUGGGCGUAAAGGGUGCGUAGGUGGGUAUUUAAGUUAGCUGUGAAAGUCCUGGGCUUAACCUAGGGAGGUCAGCUAAAACUGGAUAUCUAGAGUGAAGGAGAGGGUAGUGGAAUUUCCGGUGUAGCGGUGAAAUGCGUAGAGAUCGGAAGGAACACCAGUGGCGAAGGCGGCUACCUGGCCAGACACUGACACUGAGGCACGAAAGCGUGGGGAGCAAACAGG
rnacentral:rRNA from 1 species